AGGCUGCGUCUUCCGACUGCGGAUAAAGAUUCAGGUAGCGGUUGGUCGAGUUGAUCGCGUCCUGAUACUGGCCGUUGCGAUA
rnacentral:sRNA from 1 species